rnacentral:snRNA from 1 species
GUGCUCGCUUCAGCAGCACAUAUAACAACAACAACAAAAAAAAUUGGAACGAUACAGAGAAGAUUAGCGUGGCCCCUGUGCAAGGAUGACACGCAAAUUUGUGAAGCUUUCCAUAUUUAA